rnacentral:rRNA from 1 species
ACGGAGGAUCCGAGCGUUAUCCGGAUUUAUUGGGUUUAAAGGGAGCGUAGGUGGAUUGUUAAGUCAGUUGUGAAAGUUUGCGGCUCAACCGUAAAAUUGCAGUUGAUACUGGCAGUCUUGAGUACAGUAGAGGUGGGCGGAAUUCGUGGUGUAGCGGUGAAAUGCUUAGAUAUCACGAAGAACUCCGAUUGCGAAGGCAGCUCACUGGACUGCAACUGACACUGAUGCUCGAAAGUGUGGGUAUCAAACAG